rnacentral:rRNA from 1 species
AGAGUUUGAUCCUGGCUCAGGAUAAACGCUGGCGGUAUGCUUAACACAUGCAAGUCGAACGAAGCCUUUCGAGGCUUAGUGGCGGACGGGUGAGUAACGCGUGAGAAUCUGCCUUGAGGUUUGGGACAACAGCUGGAAACGGCUGCUAAUACCAAAUAUGCACAACUGUGAAAGGGGUUUACCCCGCCUCGUGAUGAGCUCGCGUCUGAUUAGCUAGUUGGUGGUGUAAGGGACUACCAAGGCGACGAUCAGUAGCUGGUCUGAGAGGACGAUCAGCCACACUGGGACUGAGACACGGCCCAGACUCCUACGGGAGGCAGCAGUGGGGAAUUUUCCGCAAUGGGCGAAAGCCUGACGGAGCAAUACCGCGUGAGGGAGGAAGGCUCUAGGGUUGUAAACCUCUUUUCUCAGGGAAGAAAAAAAUGACGGUACUUGAGGAAUCAGCAUCGGCUAACUCCGUGCCAGCAGCCGCGGUAAUACGGAGGAUGCAAGCGUUAUCCGGAAUGAUUGGGCGUAAAGCGUCCGCAGGUGGCAAUGUAAGUCUGCUGUUAAAGAGUGAGGCUUAACCUCAUAAAAGCAGUGGAAACUAUAUCGCUAGAGUGUGGUAGGGGCAGAGGGAAUUAAGAGAGUAGCGGUGAAAUGCGUAGAUACUCUUAAGAACACCAGUGGCGAAAGCGCUCUGCUAGACCGCAACUGACACUCAUGGACGAAAGCUAGGGGAGCAAAUGGGAUUAGAUACCCUAGUAGUCC